UAAAAAUUGAUUUCGGGAGCCUCAAGACAUCGAAACCGGCCUCAAGACAUUACCGUUGGCUCGCAGUUAACGGAUUGAAUUUCACCGGAGUUCCCACUUUCAGGGAAUGCUCAGUGCAUUUUUGUUAGGAUGGAAUCCAUGGUAUGCACUAUGCAGGCAGGUUAACUGCAAUAUAGUAAUGCAUGAGAUAGAAAAGAGAAAAGCUGAUCCUUCAUAUCAUAUGCAGAAGCAGCAAACGAUGUCUUUGGCUCGACUUCUCAGCUGUUGUGUCGCCACUCAAGUUGUUCGGUAUACAAGCAUUUGUUAUAGUGAAGCUGGCAUCAUAUGCUAUAUCUUGGGGCAGCAAAUUCAUAGACCAGGCAGGUUGGACAACACCAUUGAUGCACAAGUGAGAUGGAGGUGCAUUUGUGGCCUCAGUAUGAGUUUGGUAAGGCUCGAAAGUUAUGGAAUUUUGUUGUGAUAGAGCCUUAUCUGGUGCCGUGGUUUGAACAUUCCGUUCUUGCGGAAUUGACAUAUUGGUACCAGCACUACUGCAUAGAUUUAUAGCACUGGGAUGUUGAUUAUCAACUUGUUGCAUCAAAGUCCUCGUGGCAUCCAAACAAGAGAUCUGAUUACUGAAAUAGUUUGGUGAAGAUAUGGCUGCAGGCAUGUUUGUGACUGGUUGGAACAAGGUUGUAUCAAAAUUUUGAGAAACCAUUGCCAUCAUCAGUGUCAGGUGCUGUUGGUGUCCUUCCCCUGAUGAUGGCAGCGGCUUUGUGGGUUGAGAUCUUGAAUCGCCACCUUUUGAAGAUGAGGCUUUGGAUGACUUGCCAUUCCUAGUGUUGCCUCCAACUGGGAUAAGCCUCAAUCUGCCCCCGACAGUCCACUGUCUUUUGCAAGUCCUGCAAUGGAAUCGGGGCUGUGUGAGGCUAUUGUUGUUGAAGUAGCGAAAUCUAGUAUCUAGAGAACCACAUCGAGGGCAUUCCAAGGGGGUCUGUGGUUGCUGGGCUUCUGCUCUUGAUUGCUCCAUUGCUGUUUGUUGACUGUGUCCUUCUCUUUUCUUCUAUGCUCUCAGUUUGUGCAUUGUUCCUGUGCUAUAAGCUUAUAUUUAUACUUAAAAAUGUUAAUACUUUACUGUGUAUAUUUGAAAGCAUCUUAUUUUGGUUACUGUAAUCCUUGGCAUGUAAAUAUUAAUAUGAUUACAAGAUUUUAUAGAUGUGCGCCGAUAAAAAGGGUUAUCGGGCUAGUAAAGAGGAAAAGAUCAAUAAAAGCAUGCCCGCUAUGUGACUAUGCAGUCUUCCAUUAGAGAUAAGAUUUUCGCGUUGACAGAUUUUCAUUGGAUUAUGAAAAUUAAUUGAAUACAACGUGCUUGUGUCUAUUUUUUUUCUAUGUACCUUCACUUUCCCUUUCACAGAUACAGCCUUUCGACCUUAAAUCCGGCACCCUUUCUGCGAAAGCAGUCUGACCUCAUUAUAUCUCAAUUCUCAACAAAUAACACAAUUUUCUUAUGGUGUAUAUUAUGUCUUUCAUGUCAUAACAUAAAAAUAUCUUAUUAUAGUUUAUGAUCCUGUGUUAUAUCUAUGUUUCAUAUCCUCGUAUAUAUAUGUGAAUUGCAAGUUUUGCUUGCUAAACUCAGACAGCUAUUAAAGCAUAUAAUGGGUAUAUAUCGUCCUUAUUAAGUAACUUCAAAGUGAAUAGCAAGCUGAAGGGAAUUGCUUAGGAUUUGCCUUUCAUGUACGAGUUUAACUAAACUCGUAUGAAUUUGCCGGAUCAUAUAACAUGUAUAGAUCCUAAUGUUUAGGUUAUUUUAUGUCUCACAGGACAUAAUUGGGCUUUAAUAGUUGUGAAAAUUACUUAACCUUUUUUAACUCUCUACUCAAUGUGUAAACACUCAGAAGCUGAAGCUGUAAAAGGUAAUUGAGGUUGAAGCAUUGAUUCUUAGCAAUGCCUAUGCCUUGAUCACGUGGCCGUGAAAAAGAUUAGUAACACUGACUUCGGGAAUAGCUCUCAAUGUCUAAACCUGAUCUCACAAAUGCCGUACCUGAUCACCUUGAGGCAUUGUCGCCUCCAAUGUAACCUAGAAUUUCAUAUUGCUAUUGUUCUAUUUAGGAUAGUAGAGCAGAAAGUCACAGGUGUGGCUUGAUUGCCCCAUUAUGCACUGUAUGUUUAUCUUUUGAUAUUUAGUCGCACACCUUCCCUUUAGUUGCAGAAUAAAUCUAUUACCUAUGUGCAGCUUCAGUUUCUUCUUCUAUGCUCUCCUUGUUCUUGCAUUGGUGAUGAGAAUACACCAGACCUAAACUAUGCAGCUGCUGCCUGCUGGCUUGCUAGACGACCACAAAGCCUUUUAACACGACGCUCAUGGUGCAAAACCAUCACUAGUGGAUUGAUGAUCCCUAGGACAGUUUAAUACAGUGAAUCGUUUUGGGAAUUUUGGGCUCACUAUGUUGCUGUUUGGUAUAAUGGCAAUGCCCUCUAGCAGAAUUCAUUUGCAAGCAGCAACGCUUCCAGGAAUAAGCAGGAGAAAGAACUUUGUCUUCAAGGAGGUAUAAAAGAUCACAUAUUUGUCUGAUAAGUAGAGACAUCUUUCAUUUAACAUGAAGAGUCACAUUUCUUUAUUAGUAAUGAAGAGAAUUAAAAGUUUUACUAGUACUAUUUUUUUGUCCUAAUUGAUCUAACUAACUCUUGUGAUGGGUAUGAGGUAGCCAACGUAGUAACCAUAUAUUUAAUGAAGUUUUCUCUGAAUAAUAAUGUUCAUUUUUCUUAUU